rnacentral:lncRNA from 1 species
UAGCAACACCUCCAUCUAUGGGCUGUUGUGAUGAUGGUAUGACGUAACAGGCCCCUUGCCUUAAAGGUGUUCUCUCUAAAAUGUGUCUUAUUUCAGGCCAUCAGCCCAGGAAGCACCCUUAAAAAUAGUCAUAAUUUACUUAUUGUGGUUCUACAAAUGCCUCAGUACAUCAUCCUAAUUGACAACAAUGUUCUGCUCUUGAUGAAGAUUUCCUGGAGCCAGGGAUGGAUGUCUGGUUCUGUGCUAAAAAUAUGACAAGGUUCUGGGUCAAUGAGAAUGAGAAACCCAGUGUUCGGGAGAGAGGAGGCAGCUGAAAUGAGCCUGCAUCUCUACAAAGGAAAAUGCAGCCCAGGUCCUCUGAUGCAGAGAAGUUAGUGUUCUUCGGGACAAGGUGAAAAAUAGGCGGCUGGUGUAGGGAGCUGAGGACUGGACAUCCAGGUAGGAUGCUUCUACAUCAAUAACCACAGAUAAUUCCACACAGAGUCCUGCUCAGGACACAGCAUCUAAUGCAUCUGUGAGCUGGGGCUCAGAUCUGGGGCUCAGAGCCAGCUCUGUGUGACCUGUGGCUUCUGCCACACCCAUCAGCCUGCUCCACUCUUCAGGAUCCUCUUUCCAAUCUUCUCAUCAGAAGCAGAGGCCUUGGGAACUCAUGAGUGUUGACAUAUUUUCAAAGCCCAUCUGAGUGCUCUUACUGGACUCUUCAACUGAUUUUUUUGGCAAUAAUAAUAGUAACAUUAUAGUUGUAGUAAGUUGUAGCUUACAUAGUACUUCCUAUGUCAUGAGACAUUCUAAGCACUUUCUUUG